rnacentral:rRNA from 1 species
UAUUUGAGAGUUUGAUCCUGGCUCAGGAUGAACGCUGGCGGCGUGCCUAACACAUGCAAGUCGAGCGAACCCUUCGGGGUGAGCGGCGGACGGGUGAGUAACGCGUGGGUAACCUGCCCUGUACACACGGAUAACAUACCGAAAGGUAUGCUAAUACGGGAUAAUAUAUGA